rnacentral:rRNA from 1 species
CCCCUGGGAGUGUAGGCCUCCCU